UGGAUCCGUCGAACUAAUUAAAUCCCAUCGUCCCUAUUCGUCGAACCGCAAAGCACUUAGAUGAAUCGAGAUCGACGAGAGCGAUUCGGGUGUCUUCGGAUAAUCGGUGAAAAGAACCGAAAAUCUAUUGUGACCGAAGCGUACCACGAUAACGCGUAGUUUUUUUCAAAACUCUUGAGAAGAUAUUCGAAUGAUACGUGCAAGAAUGUGUUGACUACGUUCGGUGACUUCGUUUAUUUUUCUAUCCUCGAUGGUGGAGAUCAUAGGUGGAGAGCGGAGGAAAGAGGGAAGAGGAAGAGGAGAAGGAGCAGAAGGAGGAGGAGGAGGAGGAAAAGGAAUAGAAAGAAUAGUUAAUAACUAACUAUGUCGAUAAAAUAUCGAUCGAGAUUGUAUUCAACUUACUUGGGUAUUCAAGUUAAUUGCAUGAAAAGCGAUACAGUAUUAUCAAUAAUGUCAAGAGGGAGAAAGAGAGAGAGAGAGAGAGAGAGAGAGAGAGAGAAAAGGAAGGGAAGGAGGAGAGGGAUCACCUAUGUUGUAUCGAGGUACUUCUACUUCAAAAGUACACAAAGGACUGACCCAUCCUCUAAAGAGAAACCCGUUAAAUCGAACGACGAUACCCCUUACUACCACAGUACUUACAAAGUUUGUUUGUGUUUACAUACUGCCAAACCUACAAGCCUCCUCUCUCCAACUUUACUCGCAUUUUUAUGUACGUGUGUAACUACACUUAUAUAUAUAUAUAUAUAUAUAUAUAUAUAUAUAUAUAUAUAUACAUAUAUACAUAUAUACAUAGAAAGAUACGUUGCAAGGACAAAAACGUAUAUAUACAUACAU